UAAGUUCAGAGUGGAGAUUUGUCAGUAUAAGAGAGAAGAAUCCCUUUUUGAUUAAGUCAGUGAAAUACAGUAUUUGGGAGAAUGGUUAUAUUUGAAGGCGACUUGUUCAUAUUCUGUUGCCACAGUGACAUCUGUUGAAUCUCAAUCUGCUAUUUUGGAAACUCUGAAAAAUAUGUUCAGAUGCUGUUCAACAGGCUAGAAUUUGAUUGCUGUGCUCAUCCUGUGACCACCCAACUCGAGACAACAGCCACGCCC